AAAUAGAUACCCAGGUAGUCCACGCCGUAAACGAUGAGUGCUAAGUGGUUAGAGGGUUUCCGCCCUUUAGUGCUGCAGCUAACGCAUUAAGCACUCCGCCUGGGGAGUACGGCCGCAAGGCUGAAACUCAAAGGAAUUGACGGGGGCCCGCACAAGCGGUGGAGCAUGUGGUUUAAUUCGAAGCAACGCGAAGAACCUUACCAGGUCUUGACAUCCUCUGCCAACCCUAGAGAUAGGGCGUUCCCCUUCGGGGGACAGAGUGACAGGUGGUGCAUGGUUGUCGUCAGCUCGUGUCGUGAGAUGUUGGGUUAAGUCCCGCAACGAGCGCAACCCUUGAUCUUAGUUGCCAGCAUUCAGUUGGGCACUCUAAGGUGACUGCCGGUGACAAACCGGAGGAAGGUGGGGAUGACGUCAAAUCAUCAUGCCCCUUAUGACCUGGGCUACACACGUGCUACAAUGGAUGGUACAAAGAGCUGCGAACCCGGCAGGGUAAGCGAAUCUCAUAAAGCCAUUCUCAGUUCGGAUUGUAGGC
rnacentral:rRNA from 1 species